UCUCAGGCAGUCUCCAUGUGGCUUUGUGACGGAGAGCUGGUCGGGUGAGGCAGUGACUGUCUCUGCACUGACUGCAACAACUAGCAGGCGUCACUUAGCAACACUUUUAAACAUCCUCUCAUUGGCUCUCCUAGUCCGGUGCGGCCAGAUGACGUCACUGUUCUGAGACCCGCGACAUCAGCGGCUGGACGCGGCGGGAAUGGCAGCGCCGGACAGGUGAGUGAGGUUAGACAUUAUUAACACUUGUUAGAUUGGGUAUAUUAGAUGUGGUUUGUAGUAUGUUGUUUGUAUUGCUUGUCCCUGAAGACGGGGUAUCACCCCGAAACGGCGUAGGACCGUAAUAAAGGCUGUACUUUUACUUUA